rnacentral:rRNA from 1 species
UAGGGAAUCUUCGGCAAUGGACGAAAGUCUGACCGAGCAACGCCGCGUGAGUGAAGAAGGUUUUCGGCUCGUAAAACUCUGUUGUUAGAGAAGAACAAGGACGUUAGUAACUGAACGUCCCCUGACGGUAUCUAACCAGAAAGCCACGGCUAACUACGUGCCAGCAGCCGCGGUAAUACGUAGGUGGCAAGCGUUGUCCGGAUUUAUUGGGCGUAAAGCGAGCGCAGGCGGUUUCUUAAGUCUGAUGUGAAAGCCCCCGGCUCAACCGGGGAGGGUCAUUGGAAACUGGGAGACUUGAGUGCAGAAGAGGAGAGUGGAAUUCCAUGUGUAGCGGUGAAAUGCGUAGAUAUAUGGAGGAACACCAGUGGCGAAGGCGGCUCUCUGGUCUGUAACUGACGCUGAGGCUCGAAAGCGUGGGGAGCAAACAGG